rnacentral:lncRNA from 1 species
CAGGACUGACCCCUGCUUCCCACCCCCAGGACCGCCUGAGCCAGGUGCUACGGGACCUGGAGGAUGAGAGCACCCCUAUUGUGAAGCUGGGGGAUGCCAGCAUUGCAGCACCCUUCACCUCCAAGCUUUCCUCCAUCCAGUGCAGUGAGUCCCAAGCUCCUAGCCCCGCCCCUGCCUGGAGCCAUGCUCACCCCAGAACCUACCUGUUGUGCCCAGAACCAUACCUAUCCUGCCCACUCAUUCCUGCUUUCCCACAGUCUGCCACGUGAUCAAGCAGGGCCGUUGCACAUUGGUGACAACGCUGCAGAUGUUCAAGAUCCUGGCCCUCAAUGCCCUCAUCUUGGCAUACAGCCAAAGUGUCCUCUACCUGGAGGGUGUCAAGUUCAGCGACUUCCAGGCCACCCUGCAGGGGCUGCUGCUGGCCGGCUGCUUCCUCUUUAUUUCCCGCUCCAAGCCUCUCAAGACUCUUUCCCGAGAGCGGCCCCUGCCCAACAUCUUCAACCUAUACACCAUCCUUACGGUGAUGCUGCAGUUCUCUGUCCACUUCCUGAGCCUGGUCUACCUGU